UCUUCAUUUCCCACACUCUCUCGCCCCUCUGACCGAUGAGAGAGCGCGAGAAAUGGAGAGA
rnacentral:pre_miRNA from 1 species